GACGAACGCUGGCGGCGUGCUUAACACAUGCAAGUCGAACGGUGAAGCGCCUUCCUUUUUGGUGGGUGUGGAUGAGUGGCGAACGGGUGAGUAACACGUGAGUAACCUGCCCCCUUCUUCUGGAUAACCGCAUGAAAGUGUGGCUAAUACGGGAUAUUCUGGGUCUGUCGCAUGAUGGGUCUGGGAAAGAUAUUGUUUCGGUGGGGGAUGGGCUCGCGGCCUAUCAGCUUGUUGGUGGGUGAUGGCCUACCAAGGGGGUGACGGUAGCCGGCCUGAGAGGGUGGACGGUCAUACUGGGACUGAGACACGGCCCAGACUCCUACGGGAGGCAGCAGUGGGGAAUAUUGCACAAUGGGCGCAAGCCUGAUGCAGCGACGCCGCGUGAGGGAUGGAGGCCUUCGGGUUGUGAACCUCUUUCGCCAGUGAAGCAGGCCUGCCUCGUUUGUGGGUGGGUUGACGGUAGCUGGAUAAGAAGCGCCGGCUAACUACGUG
rnacentral:rRNA from 1 species